CUCAUCUAUAUUAUUUGCAGAGAAUUUUCGCGAAUCACUACAAAAGAGGAAAACAGGUUCCUGAACCCUGGGGUGAACACCAUGAUGGCCAGAUCUCUCUCUUCUCCCAACCAGCCACACUCUUAC